CAGCAGACCGGGGAGGCGCCUGGAGCCUGCAGUAACUCAAGAUGGCCGACUGAUCGCCAGAGAGUAUUUGAGGACAUGGUUACAGUUACGUUCCCAGGGGAACAACCUUUGGCCUCUUAAGACAUCUACUUGCUUUCAGUUUUGAAAGAACUCAGGCAGCCAUGGGGUAUUUUUCAGAAUUCCCGGCGGUGAAGGGUCAGAGCCAUGGGCAUUAGGGAGAAAGCUGAAGGCACAGCGGAGUGCCAAAGUCUCCCGUGAUGUAUCCUGUGUCCACAUCCCAACAACCCCAUCGGCAGGACUCUUUCCUGGUUUGCCCACAAGGAGGAAAGUGAGGAAAGUGAGGCGUCAGAGAGAUGAAGCAACUUGUUUGAAGGCGGCCACACAGCUGGCCCUGAGGAUAUCCAGACCCUAGAGGACCAAUGACAGGCAGACAGGCCCAAGAUGGGAAACCCAGAAGCACUCUGAGAUGUCCUAGACGCUGAGAUGUCCUGCCUGAGACCUCCAGGAUUAACUGAAGGCCAGCAGCUAGUGCUCCUGAGCCCAGUCAUAAGUGACAGUCUAUGAGGGCAAACUGAUCCCCACUUCUUUUCACUCCUUAAGCUUCUACUGAAGCCUCCAGCAGACUCUUGGGCCCCAAAGCUGCUGCGUCCCCUAGAAACACCUAAAAGGAUGCUCCUGGCUGCAAAGCGCCCUGAGCCUAUAACCACAGGAACUGCUCCAUCAGUAUCCAGUGUGCCUGCUUAUUGCCUGGUUACCUGCCCGGCUUGUCCUUGUGCAGAUGCAGUGGAUGCCAGAACACCCUACAGCUGGAGAGAGGCGGGGAAACCCUCAGGUGCUUGUGCCUACGAGCACUGCCCCAGCCUGGCAGCACCAGGGAUGGGAGAGGAAGGAAAGCCCCAGGAAUGCCUGUGGGGUGUGACAGCAGCCCCUGAGUGAAGAGCUGUGCCCAACCCCAGCUAAGCCCUCAGGACCCAGGACAAGGGGCCUUCUUCUACAUAGGAGAGUGGCCUCAUCAGCAUCCCACAUAGAGGGAGGCAGACAGGCCCUGCAAACCUUCCUCUAAACUUCACGCAUCUCCUCGGAAGUCCCUAUAAUAAUGACAAGUAGGUUUAUUGAGCACUAAUGGGCUGGGUGCUUGGCUAAGUGGUUUAUGUCAGCAUCUCAUUUAAUUCUCCGAAGAACCUUGUAUGCUAGUAUUAUGGGGAGCCUGUCUAGUGGGUCAGAAAAUAUGACCGACAAUAAAAAUUUGAAGACAAUAACAACAAUAAUAACAUUAACAAAGGAAACAAUGCUUCCCAGAGAUCUAAGGAAGGGAAAUUAAUGUCUGAUGAAGGGAUGAUUAAAGUGACGAUGGAGAAAGGGAUUUCACAGGAAAUACGAAGAUACGAAAGUAAUUCUUCAGAGAAGAUCUCCACCAAGAACACUCAACCCACAUUCAGGCAGAAUAUGCAAGGAGGCAAACUGUUGUGGACUACGCGAUCUCCACAUGGAAGAUGUCACAUCAAAAAAUAAAAAUAGGCCGGGCGCGGUGGCUCACGCCUGUAUUUCCAGCACUUUAUGAAGCCGAGGCGAGUGGAUCACCUGAGGUCAGGAGUUUGAGACCAGCCUGGCUAACAUGGUGAAACCCCAUCUCUGUUAAAAACACAAAAUUAGCCAGGUGUGGUGGCACAUGUCUGCAAUCCCAGCUACUCGGGAGGCUGAGACAGGAGAAUUGCUUGAACCCAGGAGGCAGAGGCUGCAGUAAGCCGAGAUCGUGCCACUGCACUCCAGCCUGGGUAAGACAGAGCGAGACUCUGUCAAUAAUAAUAAUAAUAAUAAUAAUAAUAAUAAUAAAUAAACAAACAAAAACUCUGGUUCCUGGCGGCUUCUCUUGAAAUAUCAGAAUGGUACCACGGCACCCUCCUUCUGAUGUGGGAACAGUUGGUUGGAGCCAAGAAGCUACAGCUUUUUAGACUGAGUGUGCAUGCUCUGGUCAACACAGUCCCCACCACCCCCUAAUGCCUUUCACUUGGCCCUUCCUCUCAUCUCCACUAACUGCC
rnacentral:lncRNA from 10 species